rnacentral:rRNA from 1 species
UGCGUAGGCGGGUUUCUAAGUCAGAGGUGAAAGCCUGGAGCUCAACUCCAGAACUGCCUUUGAUACUGGAAGUCUUGAGUAUGGCAGAGGUGAGUGGAACUGCGAGUGUAGAGGUGAAAUUCGUAGAUAUUCGCAAGAACACCAGUGGCGAAGGCGGCUCACUGGGCCAUUACUGACGCUGAGGCAAGACUGGGGAGGCGAACA